rnacentral:misc_RNA from 1 species
AUAUAUAUAUAUAUAUAUAAACAGAAUAAUGUGCAGACAUGCUCAAAAGAAUCUGAAGGGAUGGGGAACUCCCUCAUAAAUUAGUGAUUGAAUUGUAAAUUAGAACUUCAAUCAACGAACAUAAGAUUCAUAGAAAAUAUUUCACUAGAGAGCUAGUCCACCAAUAAAUAUGCCUCCUUACAUGCAUGCUCCAAUAACAAUGAGAACAAAAUGGUAUGAAAAUAUUUGAAUUCAUGCAGUAUUGGAGCAUUGUAGUAGUCCUCAUUCCCAAAAAUGAUUUUCACAUCUCAAUUUCAAGGACAUCAGAUCACAAUACCCAUUUAACAAAAAGCAUAUCACAAUCACAAUACCCAUCUAACAAAACGAAUAACACAAUACCCAUCUAACAAAAAAUGAAACAACAAAUUAAAAAGAAACAAAAAUUAAAGAAAAAAAAAAGAGUGCUGCUGCUGGGUAAUUAAAAAUGGCAUGACUGGGAGAGAAGAAAGCAUCGAAGAAGAGAGGAGGAGGAGAGAA